UACGAAGGGGGCGAGCGUUUGUUCGGAAUUACUGGGCGUAAAGGGCGCGUAGGCGGCGACUCAAGUUAGAUGUGAAAGUCCUGGGCUUAACCUCGGGUCUGCAUUCGAUACGGGCUAGCUAGAGUGUGGUAGGGGAGAUCGGAAUUCCUGGUGUAGCGGUGAAAUGCGCAGAUAUCAGGAGGAACACCGGUGGCGAAGGCGGAUCUCUGGGCCAUUACUGACGCUGAGGAGCGAAAGCGUGGGGAGCGAACAGG
rnacentral:rRNA from 1 species